rnacentral:rRNA from 1 species
GACGAACGCUGGCGGCGUGCUUAACACAUGCAAGUCGAACGGAAAGGCCCUGCUUUUGUGGGGUGCUCGAGUGGCGAACGGGUGAGUAACACGUGAGUAACCUGCCCUUGACUUUGGGAUAACUUCAGGAAACUGGGGCUAAUACCGGAUAGGAGCUCCUGCUGCAUGGUGGGGGUUGGAAAGUUUCGGCGGUUGGGGAUGGACUCGCGGCGUAUCAGCUUGUUGGUGGGGUAGUGGCUUACCAAGGCUUUGACGGGUAGCCGGCCUGGGAGGGUGACCGGCCACAUUGGGACUGAGAUACGGCCCAGACUCCUACGGGAGGCAGCAGUGGGGAAUAGUACACAAUGGGCGGAAGCCUGAUGCAGCAACGCCGCGUGCGGGAUGACGGCCUUCGGGUUGUAAACCGCUUUCGCCUGUGACGAAGCGUGAGUGACGGUAAUGGGUAAAGAAGCACCGGCUAACUACGUG